AGUGAACGCUGGCGGUAGGCCUAACACAUGCAAGUCGAACGGCAGCACAGUAAGAGCUUGCUCUUACGGGUGGCGAGUGGCGGACGGGUGAGGAAUACAUCGGAAUCUACUUUUUCGUGGGGGAUAACGUAGGGAAACUUACGCUGAUACCGCAUACGACCUACGGGUGAAAGCAGGGGAUCUUCGGACCUUGCGCGAUUGAAUGAGCCGAUGUCGGAUUAGCUAGUUGGCGGGGUAAAGGCCCACCAAGGCGACGAUCCGUAGCUGGUCUGAGAGGAUGAUCAGCCACACUGGAACUGAGACACGGUCCAGACUCCUACGGGAGGCAGCAGUGGGGAAUAUUGGACAAUGGGCGCAAGCCUGAUCCAGCCAUACCGCGUGGGUGAAGAGGGCCUUCGGGUUGUAAAGCCCUUUUGUUGGGAAAGAAAAGCAGCAGGUUAAUACCCCGCUGUUCUGACGGUACCCAAAGAAUAAGCACCGGCUAACUUCGUG
rnacentral:rRNA from 1 species